rnacentral:rRNA from 1 species
UACAGAGGGGGCAAGCGUUAUUCGGAAUUAUUGGGCGUAAAGGGCGCGUAGGCGGCUUGGCAAGUGGAUGGUGAAAUCCCUCGGCUUAACCGAGGAACUGCCGUCCAAACUGCUUUGCUUGAGGCCGGGAGAGGCGAGUGGAAUUCCCAGUGUAGCGGUGAAAUGCGUAGAUAUUGGGAGGAACACCAGUGGCGAAGGCGGCUCGCUGGACCGGUUCUGACGCUGAUGCGCGAAAGCGUGGGGAGCGAACAGG